GGAAAUUUCUACUAGGGAGAGACCGCGAAGGUGGCUGACUAGUCGACGGCAACCACGGCUGAGUAUGAGUAAGACGAAAAAUGCGAGAGACAGAGAGAGAGGGAGCGAUGCGGGAAAAUCUGCCGACAACUAAUUUUAAUUCAUUGAAAGUUGGGCGACCGGCGAAAGCAACCUAAGCGGCGGAGGCACAGUGCUGGCUACAGGCGGCGAUCGAAUGAAGUAUGAGAGAGAGAGAAUCGCGCGAGAGUUGAAAAGAGAGGCUUUGACGUUAGCGACGGCGGCGGCGGUCAGGCAGCGUUCGACUAGGAUCGGCGGCGCGAAUGGAGGCGAGCGGUGGAA
rnacentral:misc_RNA from 1 species